UGGUUAAUGGGCGAAAGCCUGAACCGGCAACGCCGCGUGCACGAUGACGGCCUUCGGGUUGUAAAGUGCUUUUUGGAGGGAAGAGGAAGGACGGUACCUCCAGAAUAAGUCUCGGCUAACUACGUGCCAGCAGCCGCGGUAACACGUAGGAGACAAGCGUUAUUCGGAUUUACUGGGCGUAAAGCGCGUGCAGGCGGUCUGACAAGUUGGAUGUGAAAGCUCCUGGCUUAACUGGGAGAGGUCGUUCAAAACUAUCAGACUAGAGAGUGGUAGAGGAAGGCGGAAUUCCGGGUGUAGUGGUGAAAUGCGUAGAUAUCCGGAGGAACACCAGUGGCGAAAGCGGCCUUCUGGACCAAUUCUGACGCUCAGACGCGAAAGCUAGGGUAGCGAACGG
rnacentral:rRNA from 1 species